CGAUCCCAUGCUGCUGGUGGUGUAUCUUCACCCGCUUAUCUCUUAACUUCACCCAUCUUGCGGGCCAACUGCCUCCAGGGGCAGAGGCACUACCGUCCUCUCCGCAGGCUCCAGAAGGGCUCCAGGUAUAACUGCAUCUGCAGCGCGGCGCUGGGAUUUCACGCCGCUGGCUGUGUCCCACGGAUUAACGCCCGAGCAUGGCACGUCACAUCGUUUCUGGGAACUUUGCAGUGAAUUUAGUUCAGAGCCAGAUUUAUGGUCAGAAUUAAAGGAAGGUGAGGAUAUACGCCGGUAGUGCUCUCCUGAGGUCUGUGCAGCUCACAUGUUGACUGCAGCGGCAUCGAUCCCCGUGUGACUGCUACACAGCGCACUCUUUGCACCAGCAUCUUGUGUUAAAUAAGAAAACUUCACCCACCCUGUGACAGCAGUAAGUGUCCUCCGAGGAAUACAUGGAAGUUCCUGAAGAUUGAAAAGCAGGUGGGAACAGAGAACGAGAGAAACCCCCGACAGACAAUAUUGUGUUUCUUCAGAGCUCGAG